rnacentral:misc_RNA from 1 species
GAACAUUUAGCCCCUCGCCUUGAGCU